AAUUAAGGCGCUGUGGAAGUCCCAUUUGCCGAGCUCGGCGGCGUCAAAGAAUGGAGCUGGUGGCGGGUCGUGGUAGUCCUUAGCCGAGAAGGAGCCUCGCUCCGCUACCACUUCUUUCGUCAUCCUUCCUUGAUGAAGUAGUUGGAAGCGGUGAAGUAGGAGAUAGACAAACAGAGAGAGUGAGAUGGGAGUGGUGAAACAGAGGAUAUGGUUUCGGGGGUAUAUAUGGACACACAGUACACUGACCUCAUCUCAUUUUUCAUUUUUUUUUAUCCCAAUAUUUCCUCUACUCAAACCAAUUAUAAAAUUAUAGGGAGGCUCCACAAUAGGAAAGUUCGGAGAUGGUUAUGUUAUACCUAUUAUUUAUUUGUAUUGUAACGGUUAUUAACCAUAAUCAUCCUCGUUUUCAUUUGGAUGACAAAAUUAAUUCCAUCACCAUACAGAUGCGGUUAACGGUUAUAAUCACUUCCAACGGUUAUAACCACUAUCCAUUAUGAAACAUUAAAAAAUCAAAAUGCAUCCACUUUAAUUCAUCUUUAAAGUAGUGGAUGAAAUAUUUUUUAUCGAAGAAUAAUAAUUGAGCUUUAUAAAAAACGAGGAGGCGAAGAGAUAUCGUCGAAGUCAAAGAUGACAAAUGAGAUAUGUUUGAUGAAGGAAUGAGUAAAUGGAUUAGAUUUAGUUUUUUUUCAUUAAUUUCAAGUACAUUUAUGUUAUCUAUCGGGCUUAUUGAGCUUAUGUAUUGACGGGUAAAUGUUGUUUAUAUAGCAGGUCGGUGAAGGUUAUGUGUAUUAUUACGGUGAUGGUGCGGUUACCACAAAACCCAUAAUCUAUCCUUACACAUUCCUAACUGUUAACGAUUAUAACCGUAUCCUCAAAAUACCCAAUCAAUGCAGUUAAUAACCGUCAAACUCGAUAAAAUUAUAUUCAAUUAAACGAUUAAAUGAUCAACAUUGCCAAACAUGAAGCAAGUAAAAUCCACGAAAUCGAAGUUGUCAGAGUUGCACACUUCCCAUGGAAGAAAGUCGAGUGAGCAUAUAUAGAAGAGGCAUACUCCAUCACUGCUUUAGCUUUGAUAGAAAAAUAUCGGCUUUGUGUAAUGAGUAAAUAUAUUGGUUUUGUUCAUCUUUGAAUUUUCUCGUACAAAUUUUUCUCUUUCAAUAUGUUUUUAUAAGUGGUGGAACGAAUAUAUUUGAGUCUCUUUUAUGAUUUCUAUAUCUCAAAACUCCAUGUUUAUAAUUAGUGUUUCUUACAAGUAUCUGUCAUGUAGACAUUAAAAGCAUACAACGUUAAGUUAGUUUUCUCGCGAUGAGAUCGAUCUUAGAAUUUGGACCGAUUCUUAAACAUACAUGCUUGCUUUCUCAUCUCUCUCAUUUAAAAUUAUAUUUGAGACAACUAAAAUUAUAUUGUAUCAGAACAAACGUUUGGUUCAUAGAGUUGAAAGUUAGGUUAGGUUUGAGCAGUAUGAAAAGACCAAAGUAGUAAGUAAACGAAGCAUGCCCAGUCUCCACCACCGUCCACCGCCACCCCACUUAUUCUUGUCGAAACUCACUACUAGUAGCCAGUAGUACUGUACUGUUCCAUCUCCGUUUCAUUAUUAAUUUACCCCACCACUUGUAUUAAUUGGCAACCUCACCUUUUACCAACUUUCUUUGAAUCUACGUAAUGGACGAUCACGAGACGCACGAGCAGCUCCAAAAUUAAUGCGGUAAGCUAACAGAAAUUAUACUAGAUAACGUCGACAUACGAAACAAGAAAGCACGACAUGAAGCGAGUGAUAAUCUGAUCGAACUCCGUAGAAAUUUCAUUGCCCACUAUCGCCAACAAACAAACGGCCACAAAUUACUCGGCGACAAUCAAACUUUCCAACCCCCACUCUUUAAUUUAAUUUUGCAUAAAGAAAUGCAUUUUGUGACCGUUAAUAAUCUACUACGAUUGAACCCCACUACUACAACGUCGUAAUAAUCUUUUGGCACAUGCUGCAAAUCGAUAAGGGCUCCACGCUUGUCUCUAAGCUAAUUAAGGAUCUAGCACUAUACCACGUACAAAUAUUUUUCUGUAUAUUUUCAACGUAUUGGAAUAUUAUCCAAAUUAAAAUCCCUAUCAAACAGUAAGGAGUUGUUGUAUAAGUUAUUUUAUGUGGUUUUUUUUAUAGAGAUGAUGUGUUAUUUGAUAAUAAUGUAUGAGUUAUUUUGGUCGAAAUAUUUCAAAUAUUAUAUUUGAAAUAAUUGAUUGUUUUGAGUUAGUCAAGUGAGGUAAUUUCUACAUCAAAAGUUCAAAAUAAUUUAUAAAUACCACAUUUUCAAAUAAUGGAUCAUUUUGCUUCAAAAUACCUAUUUAAUAUUUGGUUGACGAAAGAACCAAAAUAGUCUAAAUAUUAUGGUGCAUAAGUAUUUGCAUAACUCGAAAUGAAAUGAUUUGAAAUACCAUUGUUACGGAAAUACCAUUGAUCUAUGCCAAACGAGUUAUUUUUACAUCAGAGGACAGAUGAGUUAUGAUGUGUGACUACUCCCAUGAACUUGCUAUCUCAUUUGGGAAAUUGCGUUACGCUGGAGGUGAUGACAGGGAAACGAGUAUGCAUGCUAAUUAUAGUGCCACGUACGCUAGUGGGAUAUACAUAAUGAUGUGUGGGAGGAAAAUGGGGUAAAAAUGACAAAAGUAUGGGUAGGUGAGGUGAGUCGAAGCUGAGUGGGAUUUUGGUUUUUUUUGUCCUAAUUAGCUGGAUUUUGAAUCGUGUAGUUUCAAUAAUACGACAUAUCAAAAUUGGGUUAAGAAUUGGUCUAUAGUUAAUCACGUAUCAUUUUCUAAAAUAAAUUAAAGAUGCACGCAUAAAUACGUAACAUGAAGAAGGGGAUAGUAAGCUUAUGAGGUUGAAUUUCAAGAUCGAAGUACCGCAAAAGAAGAAUGAACAAGGCCGGCGAUGCAUUGUGUGUGAGAUGCACGAGGACACUAGCUAGCAAAGAAGAGAAGUUUUAUACCAUCACCUCAGUGUUGCCAGAGUGGUUAGGUGGAGGUUCAAAGCAACUAUAUGAAAAGUAUCACCAAGUGCAAGAGCUCAUAACAACACAACUGCAUCACAAGGAAGACCUAAUAUCUAACUCAUUCGACUCUCGAGAAUAAUGAUCCGAUACAGGUAACCUAAGACACAAGCACUACAACGAAAAGAAAAAAUUGUCGUCGCAGGCGGAUCCGAAAUAUAUCGCAGGCUAGACAUGCGACGAAAGCCAAAAUGCCUACGACAAUUUUUGCUGUGAGAAAGCUAAGUUUGUAAUAGACAAAACUCGCGAGACCAAUUUGGUCGCAGUCAACCUACAACUAGCUUUGUCGGGUGGGGUCAAAGAUGGAUCCGUUUUUUCAUGCCACCCGCGUGAAACCAUCAACAGACCCCUUUGACCCGGCCCAUUACAAAUGUGUUUUUGGUGUGGUAAAUUAUUAUUAGAUCGGUACCUGAGUAAUGGGUUGGGCCUGGAAAGCCUACUCUAAACGGGUCGGUUUAAAAACCCAUAGCCCAAACAGGUAAUAAUGUCAAAAAGUCAAAACCAUUUGAUUCGACAUGCUUUGACAGCUGAAGGCUGAAGGAGUAAUAGACAUUGUGAUGCUCUGUGGUAUCUGAUUGGCUAAUGAAAAAGCAAUAAAUCAAAAUACAGCAAAUUUUACAGAUCGGGACGGGAGAAGAGAAGAGAAGAGAAGAGACGAGAGGACGACACCAUCAUUAACUGCAAAACCGAUAACCGAUAGUUUCUUAUCGCUUCCAUUUCUGAUCUCUCAACGCUCACACUCUCUCUAUUCACGCCUCCGUCUUUCCUCUUCCCGUGACCGUUCCUCCAAUUCAUACUGUAAGCUCUUUUUCUCUCUGUCGAGACCGAUCGGUUUCCCUGGUGCCUCAAUUUCUUCAAUGUUUGUCGUCUUGUUUCCAGGGGAAAAUCGGCUGCCAAAAUGGGGCUGCUAUCUGGAAUGUUCUUGGGAGUGACGUUCGGGAUCGCACUUAUGGCUGGUUGGAACCACAUGAUGAAGUACCGUAGCAACAAACGAAUUUCAAAGGCACGCGCCCCCGUCCGCUCUUGUUUCUUUCUAAUUUCGUUUUCAGAGUUUACGUUUUGCUUGUAGCUGGUGGAGUGUUUUGAAGCUUCUGUUGCAGAAACCGAUUGUUUGAUUGUGCUGGAAAUUGUGAAAGAUGGCUGGAACUUCUCUAAUUCUGUUGAUGAUGCCUUGAGCAACUAUCUUUCUUGCCAAGAUACUGAAUGCAUGUUAGCUGUUCGAGUGUCUUGUUUGAGAUUGUGGAGUUAUUUUUUUAUGCUGUUGAUCGUAUGAAGUUCGAACUGGGGAAGUGGAGGAUUUCCUAUGGAAUCAGUGUUCACCAUUACUUCUUAUUGUUCCAUGUCCUGCAGGCUGCUGAUAUUAAACUCCUUGGAACUCUGAACAGAGAUGAUUUGAAGAAAUUAUGUGGUGAUAAUUUUCCCGAGUGGAUAUCUUUCCCAGUGUUUGAACAGGUUUACUUCUCUACUCAAUCAACCUGCUAGAGUGAUUCGUGGCUUUUCUUUCCUAUGUGUUGUUGUUCUUCUAUUUCCUGGUGAUGCUUCCUCAAAAAUAAUGUUCUACAUUUCUAACUUUACUAAAAGCAUCAGAAGGGUGUCAUUUCGAAUUUUGCCACCAACAACAGCUUCUAACACGUUAUGUUUUGUUAAUUAAUGUGUUAAAAAGAUAUGCCGGAAAGCCAAAAAUUCAAACUAGCUCCCAGUGUGUAUUGUAUUCUUGGUCUGUAUAUGAACUCAAGCAUGCAAGGUCAUCGUAACCUGGUUUUGUCUCUCACCGGAUACUGUGGACAGUGUACUUUGCAGGGUGAAAAGUGUUAAGGUAGCAGUCUAUUUCCCUUGAUAAAGCUUGGUUUUAUGACAUCGCGUUCUUGCUGAUCUUGCAGGUGAAAUGGAUGAACAAGAAACUAGGCAAGCUAUGGCCCUAUGUCGCUGAUGUAAGUUCUUACUUUUCUUCUCAGAUGCUUUUGUCAUGGUUACAUGCAUUUUUAGCCUGGUAUUCUUUGGUAUUGUGCAUACAUCUGGACAGAAUAGUCAGACUAUGUCUAAUUUGAAGUCUAGGUAAUAUGAUAAAAUUCAUCUUUCACAAAGAAUUUGUGUGCCUUUUACAUUUUAUCAACUACCAUUGGAAGAAGCUGAACUUUGAUGGGUAUGUUUGUUGAAAGGCUGCGACUAUGGUGGUUAAAGAAUCUGUUGAACCACUGCUAGAAGAGUACAGACCUCCUGGUAUCACUUCAUUGAAGUUUAAUAAGUUUUCCAUGGGAACUGUGCCGCCUAAAAUUGAAGGUACAUGCUAGAUUUGUCCAUCUUUCACCUAUUCGUCAGCUUUGUUGGUGUUGUCUUCACACCUUUGUCACUUUAGAAAUUUCUUAAACUAUGUAAAGUAUUAUUGGAUUUCCUCGCUUUAAGUUCUGCAAGAAACUAUAUGAAAAUGGCUUUACAAAGACUUAUCUUCUUCUAAUAGGAGAUCUAUCUUAUUCGGAACUGUAAAAAGGCGUCAUAAGUUAGAUUUCUAUUUGCAGGCUCUAUAUUUUGAUGUAUGCAUUGUGCAUCCUUUCUAACAAUCUCCUCCAUAUCAAUUGUACAAAAAAUGAAGGUAUACGUGUUCAAAGUCUGAAGAAAGGUCAAGUUAUUAUGGAUAUAGAUUUUCGAUGGUGUGGUGAUCCAAGCAUCAUCCUAGGUGUUGAAGCUGCAAUGGUUGCCUCAAUACCAAUUCAGGUUUGUUAAUUGUACAACGACUUUAGAUAAUGCAAGACUUUACAGUUUUACUUGCUUUUGUCGUUUCCAUCAUUUAGUUUUAUAACGGAAGAAUAAUGAAUGAUUUCGUGACGCAACUUGGUGCAGCUGAAGGAUCUUGAGAUGUACUCUGUUAUUCGGGUUAUCUUCCAACUUUCUGAGGAGAUACCAUGCAUUUCUGCUGUUGUCGUUGCUUUGCUUUCUGAGGUAUGUCUAAGUUUCCUGUUGAAGUUAAAAAAAGUAGAAAGAAUAUCUAGGAAAUGUUAUCUUUUAAGAUUUAUUCGCAGCAUUUGACAGAAUUGUCAAACGCAGUGAUACUAUAUUGACAUUUCUAGCUUAGUAAGAUGAUGUUUGCCACAGGGCAUAGGCUCUUCAACCAUUAUUUUUUGUUUGGGAUGGAACUGACUCAUUCAUGUCUUAUUACCCAGCCAAAGCCUAAAAUUGAGUACGUUCUAAAAGCUGUUGGUGGAAGCAUAUCUGCCAUACCCGGUUUGUCAGAUAUGAUCGAUGUAAGUAAACAUUGGCUUACAUGCAUGUCUUCACUCCCAUUUCUGUCUUAUUCCAUCGAAUAUAUUUGGCUCAUCAUGCUGUUGCUUAUAUCCGCAACAGGAUACAGUCCAAUCAAUUGUUACCGAUAUGCUUCAGUGGCCUCACAGAAUUGUUGUUCCAAUUGGUGGCAUACCUGUUGAUACCAGGUAAUAAUUCCCUCGUAGCUGUCUUCAGCUCUUCUUUAGAUUAUCAGCUGAGUUGACUUUGAUUCCAUGUGUUGCAGUGAUUUGGAGCUUAAACCCCAAGGGAAGCUGACGGUGACAGUAGUUAAAGCAAAUGAUUUGAAGAACAUGGAAAUGAUUGGAAAGUCCGAUCCAUAUGUUACUCUACAUAUCCGACCGGUGUUCAAGGUCAAGACACAUACAGUGGAAAACAAUCUCAAUCCUGUCUUUAAUCAGACGUUUGAGUUGAUCGCUGAAGACAAAGAGACUCAAUCACUUAUUCUCGAGGUGCUAUACUCUUUACAUUCCUACUUUCACUGCUUUAUGGUGCACCCUUGGCAUACAAUGCUCCUUCACUUCAGAAUUGAAGUCCUGCCUCUCUAACUGAAAGAUCUCAUGAUACCCUUUCGGCAGGUGUUUGAUAAAGACAUCGGCCAAGACAAGCGAUUGGGAAUCGUGAAGUUACCGCUCGUUGAUCUCGAAGCAGAGUCUUGGAAAGAUAUGGAGUUGAGACUUUUGCCGGCGCUUGAUAUGAUGAAAAUUAAAGAUAAGAAGGAUAGAGGAACUCUUACGCUGAAGGUCAGACUCUUUUGAAUCCUCCCUCUGUCUUUUUGGCUAUAGAGCUGACAUCAGACAACCAACCUGCCUUUUAUUCGUAGGGGGUCCUUACAUCUUAAGGAAGUUGCCCUGGGCCCAAAACCAGCCUUUUCCCAGUACUAGAUUUAAGUAUAAAUUGAUAGCUAUUGGUAGUUCGAUCUAGUGAUGACGUUGAAUGAAAUAAUAUAAAUUUAGGUGAAUGAGUGAAUCAAUUCAAAAUUUGCAUUAGUUGAUAACCGAGAAUUUACUACAAUUUAAACCAAAUUAUACAUUGUUGAUCUCGAAGCAGGGUCUUGGAAAGAUAUGGAGUUGAGACUUUUGCCGGCGCUUGAUAUGAUGAAGAUUAAAGAUAAGAAGGAUAGAGGAACUCUUACGCUUAAGGUCAGACUCUUUUGAAUCCUCCCUCUGUCUUUUUGGCUAUAGAGCUGACAUCAGACAACCAACCUGCCUUUUAUUCGUAGGGGGUCCUUACAUCUUAAGGAAGUUGCCCUGGGCCCAAAACCAGCCUUUUCCCAGUACUAGAUUUAAGUAUAAAUUGAUAGCUAUUGGUAGUUCGAUCUAGUGAUGACGUUGAAUGAAAUAAUAUAAAUUUAGGUGAAUGAGUGAAUCAAUUCAAAAUUUGCAUUAGUUGAUAACCGAGAAUUUACUACAAUUUAAACCAAAUUAUACAUACAUGGAUCCAAAAAGUAUAAGAAAUUUAGUGUUGGAACAUAAUUUCGAAUAUUUAAAUGAUUUUUAAGUAGUGUUGUGAGAUUUUCUGGGUGAAAUUCAGGGCGUUGAUGUAACAUAUCCAUCAUUCAUAAUUAAACGAGUUUCAGAAACACCAAACAAAUCGUACAAUAACUAAUAAGGGAGGGAUGGAUCGUUAAGCUCAAUAGAAUAGAAUCUUAGAGACGAAGAAUGACCUCUAUUAGCUACCAUGUCAAUGUAAGUUUUACUUUACGGUAUUAUUUUUUCUAUACAUGAUCCCUCUUAUUUAGUUAUUUGUCCUACAUUCGUGGCAUCACAACCCACUUGGUAUUAUUUCCCCUGGCAAAGGUACUGUACCACGAAUUCAGCAAAGAGGAGCAGAUGGCUGCUUUGGAGGAGGAGAAGAGGGUCUUAGAAGAAAGGAAGAAACUGAAAGAAGCAGGAGUAAUAGGGAGCACAAUGGACGCCCUCGACGGUGCAGCUUCGUUAGUUGGCACGGGUCUAGCCGGAGGGGCUGGGCUCGUGGGGAGCGGCAUUGGAGCCGGAGCUAACCUGGUAGGAAGCGGGGUGUCGGGUGGGGUUGGCAUGGUUGGGAGUGGGCUUAGCAAAGCUGGAAAGUUCAUGGGGAGGACGAUUACUGGUCAGAGCAGCAAGAGGAGUAGCUCUAAUUCUUCUACCCCCACCGGUCAGGAAAACGGCGCAGGAAAGCAGCUCUAGAUGAAGAGAGUAUUUUGCAGGGUACGUACUCUUUCGCCUCUCUGCUCAAAUGUGUGUACGAUUGUGUUGUUUUCUGUUGGAUUUGGAUUCUUGUGUGCCAAAUGUUAGUAGAUAUGGAUGAAUGUUUUAACCAACAUUCUGUACAAAAAAAAAAAAGAAAUAAUUUGAUUGCGCUCGCUAAAAUAUUAUCCACUUUUCUCGUGGACCUUUUGCUUUGGUAUAGUUAGUUGAUUGGAUUGCUUUCUGUAGUCUUUGUUUGUUUUUACUUUAUAGAUUAAACAUAAGGAGGGUUAAUUAAACAAACUAAUUUAAGGAUGUAAGACAGAUCGAUUAAUCAAAUACACAAAGCACCAUUAAAACUAAGUAAAGGCAGGCCAGGCCAGGCCGACAAGGCGUGAGCUUAGAGUGGGGGAAUCAAGCUGGUUGGGUGGUGAAGUCACGUGAUCUCAUCACCAGUUUUAGUUUCCUUGGGGCCACAGCUUCACGUUUCCUUUUUUUCGAGGACGGGAUUCUGGAUUCCUGCCAAAUAAAUAAGUCAAAUUUACAGGCUUGAAAUUUACCCAACUUGUGAAAUUAGUAGAGAGAGAACGUCCCUUUCAUCGUUCUAAGAUUGAGGUCAAACCUCCAAUUGGCGGCAGCAGUUGACUCAACAGUCUUCUCCAUCUGUUGCCUCUCAUGAAUGUCAAACACUAUAUAAUUUAGAUGGUGACGUAAAUGGGCCGGCUUGGUUUACUUCAGCCCUAAUUCAAUAAAUUUAUAUUAUAUAGUUUGAUUGUAAUCUAAUUAACGUUAACCUUUCCUAUGUGUUUCGGAAAGACAACUUGUUUGGCUCAUACAAGUUAUUUUGGUCGUAAAAGAAAACAUUACAACUGCUUUGUUAUAACUAAAGAUAUUAGUUACUCGGUUGUUAAUUUUGUUAAUGUUAGUGAUCUACGUGUGAUUUGAGAAGACAUUCUUCAUGGUUAAGAAACCACAAGUGCCAAGGACAUACAUACAUACAUAGGCCAACUAGGCACAAUGGUCAAAGGCAAAAGGUUGCGUGAAAAGCUGUUUCGACCCGUGAACCGACUUAGAACCCCAUUGGCCAAACCAAACCUUGAUACCCCCGUGGUUUCAUAACUUUGUCAACCCGGAGAGAGAGAGCACAAAUAUCAUCAUCAUGCUCAUUGAGCCACGUGACCCAUUUCUCUGUCUCUGUACUCCCUGUCGCCCUACAUAAAAUAUUGUUACCAGUUCUUCCCAAGUCAAAGAGAUAGCUGUAAAAAUGGAUGUAACCAACUCCUAAUUUCCCCGGUGAAAUUACUCGAAAAUAGACAAUAAUACCUUCACAUGACAGUUAAGAGAUGAAACCCUCACUGCCCAACCAAAACACGCCACGUAUCCGUCUCCUCCCCUGCCUCUCUCACGUGCCUCUGUCACCCACCACAUUCCUUUCCUCCUCCCUCCUUCUUCAGUCCUUAUCCUUCACUCACUCGCUCACUCCCCAACACAAACCAGCAGCUGGAGACAGAGAGAUAGAUUUUUUUACUUCUUCAUGAAGCCCUGAAACUGUCACCUCCACUUUCCCUAAUAUUUACGCACCAUGCCAUCCCGCCUUCUCCUCUCUCUUCCUUCGCCGGAGCAUCACCACCGUACACACCACCACAACCACCUCCCUGCAAUCCUCGCGGGAUCAUUGGCUUUCGCUCUCAUCUCCCUCCUCUUUCUAUUCGUCUUCCUCUACCGUAAGCUCUCCCGCCACCGCACCGCCCCAACUUCUUCUUCUUCUUCAGACCUCAAAUCGCCCACUCAUCUCCAAACCACCAACAAAUGCCGUCACUUCUCUUACUCUCUCCUCCGCCGCGCCACUGCUUCUUUCUCCACCUCCAACCGCCUCGGCCACGGCGGCUUCGGUUGCGUCUACAAAGCCGUCCUGUCCUCUUCCUCCUCGCUCGCCGUCAAGGUCAUGGACCCAAACGGCUCACUGCAAGGCGAGCGAGAGUUUCACAACGAACUCUCCAUCGCAUCAUCUCUCGACUCGCCCUACAUUGUCAGCCUCCUUGGCUACUCUACCGACCGCCGGAAGCGGAAGCUGGUGCUCGUGUACGAGCUGAUGGAGAACCGGAGCUUGCAGGAGGCUCUGAUGGAUCGCAAGUGCGAGGAGCUCAUGGACUGGAGCAAGCGGUAUAGUGUGAUGACUGAUGUUGCUAGAGGCUUAGAGUACCUCCACCAUUUCUGUAACCCUCCCGUGAUUCACGGCGACGUUAAGCCCAGCAAUAUCUUGCUGGAUUCGGAUUUCAACGCCAAGAUCGGCGAUUUCGGCCUCGCUAGAUUGAAGACGGAGGAAAUCGCCGAGUGCGCCGUCGGAGAAGACAACGGAUCUAUUCUGGAGGAGGCGGCGGAGAGUGUUGCAGCGACGACUGGAUACGAAGACAGCUCCACCACCGCGGCAGCAGGUGUCGAUCAAUCGCCGGUGAGUUUGUCUAGUAAGGUUUUGGAUUCGGAUGCGUCGCCGGAGGCGGCGGCGAGGAGCAUGUCGGAGGCGGAUCGAGUGAGUAUGGAGAGUGGGAGAGAUUUGGAGAAUGGAGGAGGAAAGAAAGGUGGAUCGAGAAGGGAUUGGUGGUGGAAGCAGGACAAUGGAGUUGAAUCGGAGUCUGGAAGAGUGAAGGAUUACGUAAUGGAAUGGAUUGGGAGUGAGAUCAGUAAAGAGAAUAGAUCGAAACCUGGAUGGAAUAAUCUCGAAUCCCCAAGCUCCGUCGAUAACAGUCUUUUGACGACGACGACGAGCUUAAAGAUCGAGAAGAAGAAGAAGAUAAGGAAGCGAUUGGAAUGGUGGGCGUCUCUAGACGAAGAGAGGAGGAUGAAGAAAAAGGAAAAGAAUCGGAAACCUAGAGAAUGGUGGAAGGAAGAGUUCUGCGACGAGCUAACAAAGAAGAACGGGAAGAAGAAGAAGAAGAAAAGCAACGGCGGAGGAGAGUCAUGGUGGCAGAAGGAUGAAGAUUCAGAUUGGACUACUUCGACGACGGCGACUAAGAAGAAGAGGAAAAGCAGAGGGAGCAUUGACUGGUGGAUGGACGGAUUAAGCGGCGAAUUCAGAAGGAGGAACAGCAGCAGCCACGAUUGGGCAAGCGGCGAAAUCCCAAAGAGCGGCGGGAUAAGCAGCACCCCUAGCAUGCGAGGAACGGAGUGCUAAGUCGCGCCGGAGUACGGCGGCGGAGGAGCUGGAUGCCAGCUGUCGGAGAAGUGUGAUGUUUACAGCUUCGGCGUGUUGCUACUCGUGGUGGUUUCAGGGCGUAGGCCGCUCCAAGUUACGGCAUCCCCCAUGUCCGAAUUCGAGAGAGCUAAUCUGAUCUCGUGGGCUAGGCAGCUAGCUCACAACGGCAAGCUAUUGGAUCUCGUUGAUCCUUUGAUACAUUCGUUGGAUAAACACCAAGCAUUGCUUGUUAUUACGAUCGCAUUGCUUUGCCUGCAGAGAUCGCCUAGCAAGCGGCCGUCCAUUAAGGAGAUCGUGGAGAUGCUCUCCGGCGAGGCCGAUCCACCGCAUUUGCCUUUCGAGUUUUCGCCCUCUCCGCCGUCCAAUUUCCCGUUCAAGUCAAGGAAGAAAGCUCACCGGUGAGUAGUUAAGUUGCUUACUGUAGUCUGUGUGUCUCUCUGUAUCUUGUCUUUUGUACAAGUUAGUUGCCAUUAUUGAAUUCAAUACAGGAAAUCAGGAUUCUUCCACCAUUACUUUCUCAUCUGAGUUUUGACCUCUGCUACUCGAAUCCAAUGACUAACAGUAGACGUAGAGAGUAAAACCUUUUACUGACAAAGUGCUUAAAGCUCAUAUCUUUGCUCAAGUGCUUAAAGCUAGUGAUAGUCAGCUUUAGCACUGACUUUAAUGGUGCUCUAAAGUUGCAUGAAAUUCAGUACAGCAAGCUGCAAAAUCAUCAUGGCUGGCUGGGUGGGAAAAUGAUUCUGCUCUCUGCAGUCACAUUGCACAUUAUGGUUUUCAUUUGUCACUAAUGUUUGUGCCUCCUGGGUCCCAUCCAUGGAUGCUCUUAGUAGCACUGAUUAUGGAGGCAAUAAAAGCCAUCAUCAAUCAAAAUCAAAAGCUACCUCAAAUUGCAGAUAAUGGUUGGUUCCUUUUCCUUCCCUUUUGCAUUGAUGUGUUUGCUUAAAUGAUUGCUGAGAAUGCUUCAUUUCUACGAAACUUGUAAUGAAAUGAAGAUCCCCACUGGUUUAGUUUUGGGACAGACGCUAAUAAGCUUAUCUUUGUGUUCAUGAACCUGUUCACUGUUCAGCUUCUGGUUUCGGAUUGAUUUGUUGAAAAGACAGAGACUUGCUGCCUGAAAUAUAAGAUAAGCUUAUAUCCAACUCGUAAUUACUUGAGAAAACCUUGCAAGUUGUGAUGUUUCUCCCCCAUUUCUACUGCGUUCCUGCUUGGUGAGAAAUGUUUAGCCGUGUGUCGUUUUCUUUUCUGUAUAUUCUCGGCAUUGGUAGGCGGAUCUUUCUAGGCAGAUAGGUCUGAGAAUUGGUUAUUAAUUAUCGAUCAAUUUGGUUAUUAAUCGUCUCUUUUGGUCGGUUAACUGCCUUAGCCGAUUGGAUUUGGUUGGAGAACCGAUCAUUAACCGACCAUCAUGGUUAUAACCGUUGGUAAAUUGAAAGACCAAUUUAACCGAUUGGUUAAUAUCACAAUUGUGGUAGUUUCUAUUGAAUUUGGGGUAAUUUACUUAGGAUUUGGGGAUAAUGUCACUUUUCUUAACCGACAAUUUAACCGUUUUAAUAGAUUAUCUGAUUUCAUCAAAUGUGUAGAUCGUUUCAUCGACCGAUCUAAUUUUGGUUAAACUGUUUUAACCAGUUAACCAAACCAAGAAGCCAGCCCUAGUAAGAUAGACAUACUAAUUUUGUAUGUCACCCAAAAGUCAAAACCACCUGUUACAUUCAUCUCUGCUUACCCAUUAAAGAAUGGAGUGGACCAACUCAGGACAUCAACGGUCCGGAUCUCCUGAUUUUAGAGGGACAAAAUCGUAAAUUUUGAAACUUGAAGUAAAUUUUAUAUUUGCUAGCAACUGUACAUAAAAUCUUAUCUAGAGUCCGACUAUUUUAGAAUCUGCCGUUGUCAUCAUCCACCAUAACAUGAGCAUGCAUCAUCUUUCUAAGUGGCGUUCCGGUAAAAAAGAAGGUUAGCAUAUCUCCAAGCUCCAAUUCAAAGUUGGGUUAGCUGACGGCGACCCGCCCAGCUCCGUAAUGGCACAGAUAGUGGAAUUUCCGGCCGCUCCCCACGAGCUAUAUCAACGCUGGUUACCUCCCCCGCCUAUUGUGUCAAUUUGUUUUUGGGUUUGGAGUUUAUAGUUUUGAUUUACUAUAAUCGCUAUUUUUUGUUGGUUUCUUUAGUUUUAUUUAUUUAUAUUCAGCGAGUAUUUGUGCCGUGUCUUGAGUAUUUUUUUAUCUGUCGUAUUAUUUAAAAUUGUGAUUUGUGAAGAUUAAAACCGCAAGAAUUAACUGUUUCUCCUUUACGCUCCGUAUGCGGGAAGCUCCUUGCGUAAUGGAACGCGGUGCGUUGAAUAGGCAAACAUUAGGAUGUUUUUUCUUUUGUGAUUAACUAUUGCCAUGUUUUAUUGUUUCUCAUACUGUUAUAGUUUCCUUGAUUUCUGAUAAUAGAAAGAUUACCACUAUUUCUUCUAUCAUUACUUCUCUCAUCCACGUCUGUUUAGUGGCCUAAAUAUAAAAUAUGGGAAUUGAUGUAAGACAUCCUACUUUUUAUUAUCCUAAAUAUAAAAUAUGGGAAUUGAUGUAAGACAUCUUAUUUUUUAUUAUCUUAAAUAUAAAAUAUGGAAAUUAAUGUAAUACAUCCUAUUUUUUAUUAUCCAAAACGCACUGACAUUUGAAUUCAAUAAGUAAAAUUACGUGAUGUCCUUUAAACCUAAUGUUUAAAUACACACAUGACGUAACUCAAAUCAAACACACUAUCUAAUUCGAAUCUCUCAGCUCUCUGAAAUACAAUCCUCUUCUCCUAAGAGUUGGGCCACAGCCAGCCGUCGCUUGCUCGCCAUCUCCAGCCACUCGCCGCCGCCGCUCGCCUCACACGGCCCCACCCGCUGGAAGCUGCCAACACUCUGUCGCCGCCGCCGCUUCCUCUACUCUCAUAUCCGUCGCAAGUCCGCCCCAAGCCGCCGCCUGUCGUUGAGGUACGAGAUUCA
rnacentral:lncRNA from 1 species